UACGUAGGGUGCGAGCGUUGGCCGGAAUUAUUGGGCGUAAAGAGCUUGUAGGCGGUUUGUCGCGUCUGCUGUGAAAAUCCGGGGCUCAACCCCGGACUUGCAGUGGGUACGGGCAGACUAGAGUGUGGUAGGGGAGACUGGAAUUCCUGGUGUAGCGGUGGAAUGCGCAGAUAUCAGGAGGAACACCGAUGGCGAAGGCAGGUCUCUGGGCCACUACUGACGCUGAGAAGCGAAAGCAUGGGGAGCGAACAGG
rnacentral:rRNA from 1 species